GCCGGUCCCGCUGCCGCAUUAACUCCUGCGUGUCCGGAGCCCCCGCCGCCUGACGCGCGCGGCCCAGAGGAGGGAGUUGGGUGGGGCCGAUGCUGGAGCCUGAGCUCUCCUUGUCGUUGGACCCCGGCUUGGCUGAGACAGCGAGGAGGGGGCCCUGCGCCCGAGCUGAGAGGCGGACUGGGCGACUCUGCUCAUUCUCCUUCUGACCGUCUUGCAGAGGCCAGGAGGACAGGAGGGAAAUGCGGCCGCUGUUAGCGGAUCGCUAGGACUCGUGGGCACCAGCGUGUAUCCGAGACCACAUUUUUGCUUGGCGGUGCUAUCCUCGAAAGUUUACAGUGGACUAGGGAAGGUGCGGGUGGGUUCGGGUUAGAAUUUGUCCACGGACACAAGCCCCUGUCACCCCAGUGAAUGGAGUGGAAUAGCCCCUGGGUUCUCGUGCCUCUCCAGCAUUCUGGAAGAGCCCGUCCUGUGCUGGGUAAAGAUCGGUCUCUCCAGACUGAGGGACGGAGGUGCAGAGUGUGUGAGGAAGCAGCUCAUCUACAGGCAGUUUGAGGCCUCUGGCUGCUCUAGAGCAGGAGCUCCCAGGAUCCACAGAUACCCCCGGAACACACAGAACCAGAAAGGCAGGGGGACCUACACUGCAGAGACAGAGCUGUGUGGAACGGCAGGGAGUCCCCAAAUUUAUCUUGGAUUAUAUCCUGGAGGAGGCAUUGCGGGUAAGAAUUCGUGUAGGAUGAAUCUGCUUCCGCCCAGAAACAAUGUGAUAGUGGAAAUAACGUUCCUCACCCAGGUCUCGGGACCCACCUCUUUAAAGGCAGACACAUCAACACCAUAUUUAAUCAAAGGUGAAUGGUACACCUGUCCUUUGUAUUUCCUGAAUUGAAACUGAGUAUCUAAUAGGGUAAUCAAAUCCCAUUCUGUGUAGCUUAACAUAUUCAAACGGUCCCUCAAGGAAAUGCCAUUUGGGAAAAGGGGAGUAUGGAAAAGACUGGGGAGUUUCUCCUCCCCCCGUAGAGGUAGAGGGAGGCUCUCAGAGGUCUGCAGCUGGGGGCAAGGGUUCUAUGCCCAUGGCACCCUGAACACAAACCAACCAGUGGCCUCCUGAGCAGCAUAGCUGGCCAGCUCCAAAGUGGACAUCUGUCAGGGAAGCGUGCCACAAGGACAUCGGAAGUGGGGGACCUCUGAGUGGGCUUGGAGUAGCUGAACUGGGGCGCCCCUUGGAAUUCUGAUAUAGAAAGGCUCUCUGGAGAGGACAUUCUUCAGGAGGUACCGCAAGUCAGGAAGAAUGCUAGGCCUCCGAAGGCGCUUGUCCCAGUUCCCAGGAAUCCUCCAUCCGGCCUGUGCUCCUCCUCCUGUCGCCCACAGCCUCUCGCGAGUACUUUGUCCCUGAGUGGUCAUCACCAGUUUCCCUGCUACGCCGAUGGUUUUGUGAUGCAAUUUGUUUCAUUAUUACUUUUGUUCCGGUUUCACGUAAACGUAGGCAUGAACACUUAAUCAUGGUGUUCCAGGUACCGUGUAUCUUUCCAGGAGGCAUUGCCAAACCUGGGUUUUGUUUUGUUUUGUUUUGUCCGAAAGCCCUCAAAUAAGAUGCACAUGAGGUAUAUCCAUGUUGAGAAUAAAAUAUUUUCUCAAAUCCAGACUUUAUACUUUGUAUGGCUUCUGUGGACUGCCUGCUUUUCCAACCAGACUUUAUUCAUUCCUGAACAUUUCAUUUCCAAAAUGGUUCACAGGGCAAGGAAACAGGGUCUCUGUGUCUCCUAAUCCUGUCCUCCUUUCUUUGCACUGUUUCU